UACGUAGGGUGCAAGCGUUGUCCGGAAUUAUUGGGCGUAAAGAGCUCGUAGGCGGCAUUCUAAGUCGGAUGUGAAAUCCCACGGCUCAACCGUGGACGUGCAUCCGAAACUGCUCGGCUCGAGUAUGGAAGAGGGUCGCGGAAUUCCCGGUGUAGAGGUGAAAUUCGUAGAUAUCGGGAGGAACACCAGUGGCGAAGGCGGCGACCUGGGCCAAUACUGACGCUGAGGUGCGAAAGCGUGGGGAGCAAACAGG
rnacentral:rRNA from 1 species